rnacentral:rRNA from 1 species
GAUGAACGCUGACGGCGUGCCUAAUUCAUGCAAGUCGAGCGAACGGACGAGAAGCUUGCUUCUCUGAUGUUAGCGGCGGGCGGGUGAGUAACACGUGGAUAACCUACCUAUAAGACUGGGAUAACUUCGGGAAACCGGAGCUAAUACCGGAUAAUAUUUUGAACCGCAUGGUUCAAAAGUGAAAGACGGUCUUGCUGUCACUUAUAGAUGGAUCCGCGCUGCAUUAGCUAGUUGGUAAGGUAACGGCUUACCAAGGCAACGAUGCAUAGCCGACCUGAGAGGGUGAUCGGCCACACUGGAACUGAGACACGGUCCAGACUCCUACGGGAGGCAGCAGUAGGGAAUCUUCCGCAAUGGGCGAAAGCCUGACGGAGCAACGCCGCGUGAGUGAUGAAGGUCUUCGGAUCGUAAAACUCUGUUAUUAGGGAAGAACAUAUGUGUAAGUAACUGUGCACAUCUUGACGGUACCUAAUCAGAAAGCCACGGCUAACUACGUG